AUGAGCAGGGACAGCACCAUUGGUGGCCAAGUGGUAGGAUGUGGUUGAUGAAAAUAUCUUCAGAGAACAAGAGAUCAGGGAAUUGCCUAUUUGCACUCUGGAGAACUGUUCCUCACAAAGAGAUCAUAGGAAUCUCUUUAGGUUUCUUCUGGUUGGUCACAAGUUGAAUGGCUUGAGAGGUUUUUCUUCUGAAAUCCAGACCAGUGGUGGGUUGCCCUCGGUUCGGACUGGUUCUAUAGAACUGGUAAAAAAAACUGGCAGGAGGCUCCGUCCACCAACCCCGACAUCAUCAGAACACUUCUGCACAUGUGCGCGACCCCACUGCAAACCGGUAGUAAAGAUUGCUGACUUUUAAUCUGCACCAUGGAUGAACAUUAAACACCAGAAUCAAACAGAACGACUAUUCAGAAUCUUCUAUUUUGCGGAAAGAGGCAAAAAUGAACAAAAGUGUUUAAGUCAUACAACAUAUUCUAGGUUCAUUAAAUUUGAAUUAUUGUUUUUGUAGAAUAGAA